rnacentral:rRNA from 1 species
GAGUAACGCGUGGGUAACCUGCCUCAUACAGGGGGAUAACAGUUAGAAAUGACUGCUAAUACCGCAUAAGCGCACAGUGCUGCAUGGCACAGUGUGAAAAACUCCGGUGGUAUGAGAUGGACCCGCGUCUGAUUAGCUAGUUGGUGGGGUAACGGCCACCAAGGCGACGAUCAGUAGCCGGCCUGAGAGGGUGAACGGCCACAUUGGGACUGAGACACGGCCCAAACUCCUACGGGAGGCAGCAUG